UCCAAAUGCUGGUCGUAAUCGUCCACUGUUGGUCGAAACGACGUCCGUAGUUGAAGCUAGAACUAUUUUGAAAACCAAAGCACCAGAUAACUCACGUAUAGCUUUUAAGUCCGACUUAACUCAAGCACAGCUUUCCUAUCUCAAGAAUCUUCGCUCUAAACUAGACUCACUGGCAGAGAAUGGCACAACUAAGAAAACAAUUAAAUACGUACAUGGAAAACCAAAAAUCGUCGACAAGAAUUUUCGCGCGUUCAUUGAGGAAAAAACAACCCGUAAUUCUACAGUUCUACUAUCAGAACACGAGAGGUCUCAGAACUAAACUAAGUAAAUUCUUAACAGCCUCAGCGUGCAGUCAAUCAGAUGUCUUGUGCAUAACGGAAUCAUGGCUUCAAACGUCAAUAGCGGAUGGUGAAGUUGUCGACAGGUCUUAUAAUAUCUUUAGAAAGAAUAGGGAUCCUAUGAUCGGUGGUUUUAAACGUGGAGGGGGAGUCUUCAUUGCAGUAAAGCGUUCCAUUCAGUCUGAGCUAGUUAUCAUAAACAACAACACCCUGGAACAGAUUCGUUGUCAUAUAUCCGUGACAAACUACCGGAUGCGAGUCUACUGAUCAUAGGUGACUAUAAUCUUCCCAGCAGUAUAUCAAGGACAGAAUGCACCAAAAUAAUCUACGAAAAUCUAUCCAUGCUUGGAUGCCAGCAAUUCAAUAAUGUCCUAAGUAAUCACCACAAAACCCUGGACUUGUGCUUCAGCAAUGCUGGUAUCGUCCUAUUUAAAACACCAGCUAUCAUCGAGGAAGAUAAACUUCACCCAGCAAUAGAUAUUACCCUUGAGUUUAACACGCAUCUUAGACCAGAAGUGUCAUCAAGUUAUGUAUUCAAGAAAGCAGAUUAUGACAGCUUAAAUAAUUUUUUCAUCAGAACUAAUUGGACCGAUCUCUCCAAAAUUGAUUAUAUAGAUGAUAAAUUGAAUUGGUUUUACCAAAAGGCGUUACGAAGGCGUUGAUAAAUUCGUCCCACUACACGCUAAAAAAACCCAGUAACUAUCGGUGUUGGUUUACCUUGGAACUUAUACGUAAAAUAAAAUUAAAAAACAAGGCACACGCAAUCUACAAACAAAGAAGCAAAAGACUCAACUAUAAUAGGUUCGCCAGUUUAAGACACGAGUGUAAAGCAUUAAGUGCUAGAUGUUACCGGAAUUAUGUGAUCCAGGUGGAAGACUCCAUCAAAACAGACACCCAAGCCUUCUGGAAAUUCAUCAAGAACAAAAAAAAAAUAAUACAGAGAUACCGGCGAAAGUACAUUGGAACAAUUCAACAGCGAACACUGGAGAAGAUAUUAGUAACUUAUUUGCAUCUUUCUUUGAGGGUACCUAUACAUCCACUGAUGCUGAAUACACACAAGAUUCAGAGGCCGUACAUGCAGCUCCAACUAAUCAUGACGGCUAUUUCGGAACAAACUGCAACUUAUCCGACAUGGAUGCUACCUUUGACGUCGUCUUCAAACAGCUAACAUUACUUGAUAUAAAUAAAGACGCAGGCCCCGAUGGACUACCAAAUAUUUUUCUUCGAGGUUGUGCGGUAGGACUCUGUGAGCCAAUAUCUCGUAUAUUUAGUAAAUCGCUAUCACAAGGAAUUUUCCGAAAAUGUUGGAAAAAGUCAUACGUCUGUCCAAUACACAAAUCUGGACAUAGAUCUGAUGUCAAAAACUACCGUCCAAUUUGCAUCCAAUCGUCACUAGCAAAGUCUUAACACAAGUGGCAGCGUCAUUCAAGGAUAUUAUCAUCACCCGUCAGCAUGGGUUUGUUGGCAGAAGAUCCACAACAACCAAUCUGUUUGUUUAUGUUAAUUACAUACUUGAGUCUAUGAAUGCUGGUACUAGUGUUCAUGCAGUGUACACUGACUUCAGUAAGGCAUUCGACAAAGUUGACCAUGAUACAUU